rnacentral:lncRNA from 1 species
AAGGAGACCAAGUGGGGUAACAUGAGCAUGAAGUGAUUAACCUGCUUGAAUUAUUUGUCAACUGAGAUUCCAUGUGUUUUGCUCAUCUCACCAGCAUAGAGAAAUUAGCCUACUAGAGAUUGGCCUUUGGCCAGAUGUAGAGGACAUUGUUGUCUGCAGUAGAUGCAGAAAAUAUAAAAAUGCUGUCAGCUCUUUCCCUACCUUCAAGUAAAUAAGCUUUUCCAGGACAGGGUCAUGUCUUCCUCAUCUUUGCUUCCCAGCUGCUUGGCAUAUCAUCUGUCGCAGAGCGACUUCUCAGUAUACGUUGAAAAAUACUUCUGAAGUGUUCUGCUCCAAUCAGAAUUUUGCCUUACCUUAAGGAUCUGAAUAGCAUCACAUCAGCAUUUGUAUUCCUGGACCUGAAAGAGAAGAAGAUGUAAAGUUCCUCAGAUCCUACCUAUUCAGACACAGCCAUCCUUCAGGGUCAUCUCUGUACUGAAGACCUCUCCAGCUGCAUCAACCUUUCCAUAUCCUAAAUGCCUUAAUCUUAAUGCAACUUUGGACCACGUAAGGCAUUCUCCGAUUUAGUGGUUCUAACGCAAGGUCAAUGACACAGUGGCUGUGAAAUAAGUUGUGAGAAGAAAGGGCUUUUCAGCUAGCCCUGGGAGUCAAAUGUAGUUCAAAGACUCUGUUACCUCUAAUGUAGCCUGAUGUCUCCAGGAAUGUGAAAAAAAACAUGAAGAGCUACUCCUCUGACAGUUUCAUGUUGAUUGUUCUCCAUUUGUUAGUUUUGUCUCAUUGUCUAAAUUGUAAACUAGAAAAUUUGGAUAAUUCUCUACAUAAUGCUCCAUUUCAUUGAUAGUUUAUAAUUAUUUAUAAGUUUUUAAAAUGUAUGACUUUUACAUAUAAGUAAUACUUUUUACUUUCAUGUACAUUGAAGGCAAUCUCUAUACAGGAACAUACAGAGGCUGCCAUGUUCUUAUUAAUGGCUGUACACCAUUUUGAGGACAUAUGUACAUAUACAAGUAUAGACACCUAUAUGCACAAAUAUAUAUAUGUGUAUACAUGCCAUAACUUAAACAAUUUCCUAUUGAUACACAUUUAUAUUAUUUUGAUUUCACAUGAGCUCAAAAUGGAACUCAAAUAAUUCUGCAAUUAACAUUUUACAAAUAUACUUUUGCGUGAAGUGGCAUUGUAGGAUCAACAAAUAAGCACAUUUUAAAAUUUCUAUACUCUUGUCCAAUUUCUUACCAAACCUGUGGUACCCAUUUCUGUCCCAUUCAACAGUGUGGAGGGAGCCUUGUUCCACACUUUCUUCUAUUCUUUCUUAAUUUAGACAGUACAACAGGUAAAACAUUAUAGUAUCUCAAUGUUUUAAUUUGCAUUUCUUUGACUACAGAAAUUGAGCAAACACUCUGUGUUAAGUGUUUUAGUUCAUUUGAGCUGCUAUAACAAUUUAUGAUAGACUAGAUGGCUUAUAAACAAUCGAAAUCUAUUUCUCACAAUUCUAGAGAUUGGAAGUCUAAGAUCACGCAGCCAGCAUAGUUGGGUUCUGGUGAUGGCUGGCUCUGGUUCAUACAUGGUUCUCUGAAGUGGGAUUUUGAGAGCUACAGACACUUAAUACCACUAAGUAGUUUUCCACAGCAAGGGAGCCCUAUGGUUUCAAAAUACUAUAGGGAGAAGUCCAUGUAUCAAAUUGGAAGCCUCCUGGGUGUCAAUGCUCAACUUCAAAGAGUUUCUAGAACCUCUGCAGAAACCAAGCCACAAUUUGCUAUGACCUUCGUUUUUUUUGUUUUUUUUUUUCCUGCAGUAAACCAGGUCAUGCAGCCUAAGAGACUUCCCCAACAAAAGACCUUGAACUUUUGGAGUAUUACUCCCAACCAUUUUCUACUGUGAGCUAGAAUUUUUUUCUAAUAAUUUAUUUCUGAUAUAAGGGAAUGCUAUUGGUUUUUACACAUUAAUCUUGUAUCUCCACUAAAAUCUAUUUCUAGUAGCUUUUCAUGUCAUCUACAAUAAAAAGUUAUUUUAUCAACUUAUUAAAAAUAGUUAAUUUUCAUGUCAUAUGUGAUAAAAAUCUAUUUCUUCCUUAUAUAGCUUAUUGCUUUUUCUCCCCUUUUUAUGUUGACUGAAAGUACCAGCAAGAUAUCGAAUACUAAUCAUGGCAUGUAUAUACAAAGUGAAAGGAAGGAUUAUAUUAAAUUAUCCAAAUAAAUAAUUUGACAUUUCAAUCUGUUUGCUAUUGUGAAUGUACAUAUACUUUCCUUCUGGGAGCUCCAAAGGACAAACUUGGCCGACUCCAUACAUAGCAGCGCCAGAAUGCAAAGCUCCACCAGCAUGGAGUUUCAAAUUCACUUCCCACUACUCCUUUGACCAGAGACUCCUGUGGGACUUUUCUAGCAGGACUAAGCACAAAAUAAACAGAGCUCCAGCCCAAGACUCUUUAGUCUACCACAUAAAACCAGGAAGGAGUGUUUUUACCUCUUCUAUGGAAAUUCACUACAGCCAUCAGUUGCACCACUGCAAUUGCACACUUCCUACUGUAUGCAACACAUAGUGAGUACUAAUACGUGCCAAGCCAUGUAUGUUGGUUGGCACUGUGGAAAACAUGCAGUCUGGUAAGACAUGAUUCUAACAUGUAAAUGUUAAUCACCCUCUAGAAGUAAUAACCCAUGUAAUGGCAGGUAUACUAACACUUUACAUGUUUUUCUCAUUUAAUUCUCAAAACAAUAUUAUACGCCCACUUUACAAUAAAGAGGGUAAACCUGA